rnacentral:rRNA from 1 species
GAAUAUUGGACAAUGGGCGCAAGCCUGAUCCAGCCAUGCCGCGUGUGUGAAGAAGGCCUUAGGGUUGUAAAGCUCUUUUACCCGGGAAGAUAAUGACUGUACCGGGAGAAUAAGCUCCGGCUAACUCCGUGCCAGCAGCCGCGGUAAUACGGAGGGAGCUAGCGGUGUUCGGAAUCACUGGGCGUAAAGCGCGCGUAGGCGGCUGUUUAAGUCAGAGGUGAAAGCCCGGGGCUCAACCCCGGAACUGCCUUUGAGACUGGACAGCUAGAAUCCGGGAGAGGUGAGUGGAAUUCCGAGUGUAGAGGUGAAAUUCGUAGAUAUUCGGAAGAACACCAGUGGCGAAGGCGACUCACUGGACCGGUAUUGACGCUGAGGUGCGAAAGCGUGGGGAGCAAACAGG